UUGUAAACUAAUCCAUUUUUGGUCAUGACAAACAAACCAAUAUUUAAAAAAUUCUGAAAAAUUUUUAAAUAUUAAUUCUAAAUUCCUGAUAAAACUAUGGUAACAGUUAUUUUGGAAAAAUUUAAAUUUGGUAAUAUUAAAAUUUUUUUGAUUUAUUUAUUUUUAAUUGUGGGUAAAUGAUGCAACUCAAUGUUUUAAUUGAAUAGUAAAAUAUUACAAGAUGGUAAUUCUAUUAGCGCUCUAAUAAGGCAAGCUUUUCGCUUUUUUAGAUCUUUCUGAUUACCAGAACUUUGUCACUAACUGAUUUGAAAUUCUUUACAAACUUUUGAAAUUUUAAACUUUAUUUUAGGAAUAUACUUUUAUUGAAUGUAUUUCCGACAUUUGGUGUUUUGGUAAAAAUUUUAUCUAUUACGACCAAUUAAAACUAUGACUUUUGACGUAAAAUCUUUUAUUUGAAUAUUCAUCUCGACGGGAAAUAUUAAAUAAAGAAGUUUAACCUAAAAAAUAUUGCAAUACAAAGUGCUAAGAUCAAAACAAACGAAAACGUUUCGGCAUUAGUACAAGUGGAAUUAGUUUUUCAAGUGUUCUUGUUUUGCUUUCAGGUGUUAAACAUUUUUCCGCGAAAACAACAAUCGCAAACUGUUUCGGUAUCACACUGAAGAUAAAUAAAAACAAACACGUGGAUUUUGGAAAACACCAGAAAUAAGCAACCCCCUGAAACUUUAACGACGUCAUUUGUAGUUAUCGCUUUGUGACAUAUUUUGCGAUUUCUUUUGGAAAGAUCGAUAAGUCGGAAAUCAGUUAGUUAUAAUCGAGAAGAAAUGCGUAUGGCGUGUUAUACAUAUGGAAUAUUUAUCAUCUUUAUUGUAGCUGUACCGAUUUUAACUUCAUCUUUUAGAAACUCUGAAUACUUUGAAAAAAAAAACUACGUUAAUAGUGAUUUAAAGAAACAAAAACGCGAAACAGAAAACAA